UGGGGGAUAUUGCACAAUGGAGGAAACUCUGAUGCAGCGACGCCGCGUGAGGGAAGAAGGUCUUCGGAUUGUAAACCUCAGUAGUCAGGGACGAAAGAAAUGACGGUACCUGAAGAGUAAGCUCCGGCUAACUACGUGCCAGCAGUCGCGGUAAUACGUAGGGAGCGAGCGUUGUCCGGAUUUACUGGGUGUAAAGGGUGCGUAGGCGGGAUAGCAAGUCAGACGUGAAAUACCGAGGCUUAACUUCGGGGCUGCGUUUGAAACUGUUAUUCUUGAGUGAAGUAGAGGCAGGCGGAAUUCCUAGUGUAGCGGUGAAAUGCGUAGAUAUUAGGAGGAACACCAGUGGCGAAGGCGGCCUGCUGGGCUUUAACUGACGCUGAGGCACGAAAGCAUGGGGAGCAAACA
rnacentral:rRNA from 1 species